rnacentral:rRNA from 1 species
GAAUGCUGACAUAAGUAACGAUAAAGCGGGUGAAAAGCCCGCUCGCCGGAAGACCAAGGGUUCCUGUCCAACGUUAAUCGGGGCAGGGUGAGUCGACCCCUAAGGCGAGGCCGAAAGGCGUAGUCGAUGGGAAACGGGUUAAUAUUCCCGUACUUGGUGUUACUGCGAAGGGGGGACGGAGAAGGCUAUGUUGGCCGGGCGACGGUUGUCCCGGUUUAAGCGUGUAGGUGUGUGUUCCAGGUAAAUCCGGUUCACUUUAACACUGAGGCGUGACGACGAGGCACUACGGUGCUGAAGCAACAAAUGCCCUGCUUCCAGGAAAAGCCUCUAAGC